rnacentral:rRNA from 1 species
AUACGUAGGUGACAAGCGUUAUCCGGAUUUACUGGGCGUAAAGGGCGUGUAGGCGGUCUUGCAAGUCAGAAGUGAAAUUCCUGAGCUCAACUCGGGCGCUGCUUCUGAAACUGCAGGACUUGAGUGCUGGAGGGGAUAGCGGAAUUCCUAGUGGAGCGGUAAAAUGCGCAGAUAUUAGGAAGAACACCGGUGGCGAAGGCGUCUAUCUGGACAGUAACUGACGCUGAGGCGCGAAAGCGUGGGGAGCAAACAGGAUUAGAUCCCCUGGUAGUCCACGCCGUAAACGAUGAAUACUAGGUGUAGGGGGUAUCGACUCCCUCUGUGCCGCAGUUAACACAAUAAGUAUUCCGCCUGGGGAGUACGGCCGCAAGGUUGAAACUCAAAUGAAUUGACGGGG